rnacentral:rRNA from 1 species
UACGGAGGGUGCAAGCGUUAUCCGGAUUCACUGGGUUUAAAGGGUGCGUAGGCGGGCAGGUAAGUCAGUGGUGAAAUCUCCGAGCUUAACUCGGAAACUGCCUUUGAUACUAUCUGUCUUGAAUAUGGUGGAGGUAAGCGGAAUAUGUCAUGUAGCGGUGAAAUGCUUAGAGAUGACAUAGAACACCGAUUGCGAAGGCAGCUUACUACGCCUAUAUUGACGCUGAGGCACGAAAGCGUGGGGAUCAAACAGG